rnacentral:tRNA from 1 species
UAGGGUUCUUGUAGUUGAAUUACA